AUUGAACGCUGGCGGCAUGCCUUACACAUGCAAGUCGAACGGCAGCACGGGAGCAAUCCUGGUGGCGAGUGGCGAACGGGUGAGUAAUAUAUCGGAACGUGCCCGGUCGUGGGGAUAACGUAGCGAAAGCUACGCUAAUACCGCAUACGAUCUACGGAUGAAAGCGGGGGAUCGCAAGACCUCGCGCGAUUGGAGCGGCCGAUAUCAGAUUAGGUAGUUGGUGAGGUAAAGGCUCACCAAGCCGACGAUCUGUAGCUGGUCUGAGAGGACGACCAGCCACACUGGGACUGAGACACGGCCCAGACUCCUACGGGAGGCAGCA
rnacentral:rRNA from 1 species